AUUUAAACAUUACCAAAAUAGCUUUUUUUAUUUAAUUUUUUUUAUUUAGUUGAUUCUUCUGUAGCAUCAACCUCCCCAGUUGUCAUCUGCAGCAUCAACCGUCCCAAUUGUUUUAACUGCUUCAUCCGAUACUUCUGCUGUUUCAUCGGUAUCAUUAGUCUCUUCAGAAAUAGAAGUUAUUAAAUGUUGGUGGCUCAUCAUUCAGUGCAUUUAAGAAAGGCAUGCUUUGAAA